rnacentral:tRNA from 1 species
GGUUCCAUAGUGUAGCAGUUAGCAUGUCUGCUUUAUAUGCAGAAGGUCCUGUGUUCGUGCCCCAGUGGAGCCA